GACGAACGCUGGCGGCGUGCUUAACACAUGCAAGUGGAGCGACGAACCAGGCUUCGGCCUGGGGCAGAGCCGCGAACGGGUGAGUAACACGUGGGUAACGUGCCCCGAUGACUGGGACAACCCGAGGAAACUCGGGCUAAUACCGGAUAUGCCCCCUCACGAGAGUGAGGUGUGUAAAGGAGCUUCGGCCUCCGCAUCGGGAUCGGCCCGCGGCGCAUUAGCUUGUUGGUGGGGAACGCCUACCAAGGCGACGAUGCGUAGCCUGGUCUGAGAGGACGAUCAGCCACACUGGGACUGAGACACGGGCCCCAGACCUCCUACGGGGAGGCAGCAGUGGGGAAUCUUGCGCAAUGCG
rnacentral:rRNA from 1 species